rnacentral:rRNA from 1 species
AUGAACGCUGGCGGCGUGCCUCAUACAUGCAAGUCGAGCGAACAGAUAAGGAGCUUGCUCCUUUGACGUUAGCGGCGGACGGGUGAGUAACACGUGGGUAACCUACCUAUAAGACUGGAAUAACUCCGGGAAACCGGGGCUAAUGCCGGAUAACAUGUUGAACCGCAUGGUUCUACAGUGAAAGGCGGCUUUGCUGUCACUUAUAGAUGGACCCGCGCCGUAUUAGCUAGUUGGUGAGGUAACGGCUCACCAAGGCAACGAUACGUAGCCGACCUGAGAGGGUGAUCGGCCACACUGGAACUGAGACACGGUCCAGACUCCUACGGGAGGCAGCAGUAGGGAAUCUUCCGCAAUGGGCGAAAGCCUGACGGAGCAACGCCGCGUGAGUGAUGAAGGUCUUCGGAUCGUAAAACUCUGUUAUUAGGGAAGAACAAAUGCGUAAGUAACUGUGCGCGUCUUGACGGUACCUAAUCAGAAAGCCACGGCUAACUACGUG